AAGACCGUCUGCCGCCAGCGAGCGCCAGGUGCGGAGCGGGCGUUAGAAGUUGCUGGCAGUCAGAGGCAGGGGAGCUGUCACUCGCGGCGAGCCGGGCGGCGGCCAGGGCGCAAAGUUGAGAGCAGUCUCUAGUCUGAGCCUUUCAGUCGCCUUCCAGUAUCAUCAGUACCACGGGCUCCACCUUGCUGCGGCCCCUCAGCAACCCAGUGCACCUGCCACUCGACCAGAGGGAAAGCAGUCAGGAGUGGGAGGCCUCUGAACAAGCUGUAUUUUGUGUAGCCGCCAGCUUCCAUCUUUCUCCAGGCAGAACGCUGGCCCUCAGCACAUCUUUCUGCUUCCCCUCGGUCAGACCACCGAGAACUGCCGCUGUCCUGUCUGACUCCUCCUGUUUUGGUACUAGACCCCAGAUGAGGAUCUCAGGAAGAUCCACAAAGCUGCGUCCAGGGGAACGAACGUGUGGAAGCUGCAGCGGAGCCUCCUGCUCAAGAGUAAAGGACCGGUCUGAAACCUACAAGAACAGAUUCUCACAGUAGACGAGGAGCCUGUUUUUCAGCUAGCUGCUGCAAGGAGCUGGACAUUUCUCCCUUCAAAUAGGACCUGGAAGGCCUGGAAGCAUCUGGAGAAGGGCAUGGCUGUGAGUAGAGAAACAGAGGAUACAGGCUAAAGCAGGAGGAAGCGAGAGGACUCACGGAAAGCCUUGCUGCACUCUCCAAAAGAGCUGCCCUUUUCACGUGAAGAGCUAUGUGAUCGGAUCCCCGGUUUGGCAGAGUAGACAUGCGAGAAGACUGAACGUUUCAUCGUUGAAACCUCUUAAAGGUGGAAUGUGUGGCAGAAAGAACGUCUGAGAAGCUCACGCGAUUUGCAGAAGGAACAUUUGUAGAAGAUUCCCUGUUUUCCGAAGGAAUGUCAAGUUCCAAAGCCAUGCCGUGGGCAGUUUUUAGUUCAUGUGUGCUUUUCCGGUGGACUGAGUAGCAACAGCUGCAGUUGGCGUGUUGUCUGAAGGCAGUAUCUGAAGUGUGGAUGGGUUGGUCUUCUUCCCAGGUGUCUUUUCAACAGGCAGUCAAGUCUGCAGCUCAUAGUGACCUUCCGGAAACAUCAUAUGAAGAACGUCCGAGAAGAUUCAGUGUUUGGCAGAAGAAACCUCUGUCAGACGUGAACGUGUGACAGAAGGGCCAUCCAGGAAGAUUGCACACUGGGCAGAAAGAAGACUUAAGAACAUUGCAUGGACAGCAGAAGGAGUGCUUCGGGAGAUUGCCUGGUGGGCGCCAGGAACACCUGAGAUGAUGUCAUGGCAAACAGUGGAAAUGAGAGAAAGAUGAUGGAGCUGCUAAACCUUGCCCAUUUUGAUCUGUUAUGUGAGACUUGCCUUUCGCCUUCUGUCAUGAUUGUGAAGUGUCCCCAGCCAUGUGGAACUGACACAUAUUGCUUGUCUCUGAACUUCUCAGCUGCCUGCAGAUCUUCCUGUUUUUCAGCUGCAGUUAGGGUUUGUCUGAGGAGAAGCAUAACAUCCCUCCAGGCUUACCCUGGUUGCUCAGUGAAGAAUAAAGUACAGGGAACAUGAGAGAAUACAUGGGAGAUCAAUCAAGAUGCUACUUCAGUAAUCCAUGACAAUGACAACGUAAAGUAAUGCAAGGUGCACGUGAUGGGUAUGGCCAAAUGCUCCACAAAUAAAUGUGUUGAAUGAAUGAACAAAUGAAUAAGCGAAGUGAAUGGAACAUCAAACUGCAUAAAAAUAUAUUUAUUCAUAAAUGAGAGGUGAUGAUUGCCAACAUAUCAUAAUCAGACUCUGACCUUGGUUACUUAUGAGUUUGACAACGAAGAGGAAAGAGGAUCAGAAUGGAUCUACAUUUGUCCUGUGUCAAUGGCUAUCCAGAAGCGGUAACUUUGCUGGUGCACAGAAAGUGCCAGCUUAACGUGUGUGACGGUGAAAACACGACACCUCUGAUGAAGAUAUAUAGUAGCCAGUUAUUUCAGCAUGAGAUGGAUUUGGUUUAAAUACAUAGAAUAAAAAUGGAUUUAUUUCAUUGAAAUGUAACUAAUUUGUGAACCUAUGGAAUAUUUAUUUGUAUUUUCUAGAAUUUACAAUGUGUUUCUUGGUCUAAUACUGACAGGCUAUACAAUGCCAAGAAGAUGUUUAUGCAACUAUUCUGCUGGACUUUGGUGCCUAUCCAGAUAUUACAGAUAUCAACAGAAAAACUGCUCUCCACUGUGCUGUCUAUAGUGAGAAUAUGUCAGUGGUGGCAAAACUGCUUUCACACAACACAAACAUCUAAGUGAAAAAUGGAGUAGAGAAUAACCAACAUUAUUUUCAAAAUAUUUGAAAUCCAUUUGCUUUAACACUGACAUGCGUUAGGGUCAGUUUUUCAUAUUUGGAAGCUCAAGCAUGCUCUUCUGUGAAUGAAAAUAUUCUGAAGUAACUGUCUAAUAAUUUAAAUAUUAAUGUUUUUAAAGAAGUAUUAGACGGUAUAGCUUUCUUUCAUGCAUUUAUGAUAAAUAUUUAAAUUUAUUAAAGGUAAAAGUUUGUUUUUCAAAUAUUUUAGCCACUCAAGUUUUUGUUCUUUCUAAUUAGUGUAAAACAACACAGAAAAGCAAAAUGUGCCUGCAUAAACUGAGUCAACAUGUAAACCUUUUGAUAUUUAUUAUUAAAUAAGUUAUUUGGCAAUGUAUCAAAUUUUUAAAUGUGUGUCCCUUUUGACCUAGAAAUUCUACUCCCAGGAAUUUCUCCUAAGAAGAUAAUCAGAAAAGUUUACAAAGAUGAAUAGAAAAGAAGAGUCACUGCAGCCUUAUUUGUAAAAGUGAAAAAUAGCAACAGCCCAAAUGUCAUGAAUGGAGAAUUAAUAUAUGGUGCAUCCAUACAAAAAUACUGUGCAGCGAGCAAGGGUUGAGGCUGCAGGAUGGAGUGGAGCAGAGAUGUGUUGCACAGGCCACAUGGGCCUCCUGGCUGGAUAAGCUCCCCCACCUGAGAGGUGAAGUCUGGGUGGAAGUGCUCCAGAUAGGUGACAUGGCUUCCUAUCCACAUCACAUGGACACAGGACAUGGUCUGUUAUCUCUUAUGCUGUAUGUUUUUCCCAGUUGACUUCUCAUCCUCCCCCAAGCCACUCACUGACUCCACUGGGGCAAGGGAACCUCAGAUUUCUUACUUAGAAAACACCCCAGGAGUAAGGAUUUUAGGUAAAUUCCAGUGAAAGGUGAGUUUGAGAGAGAACACCUGUGAGGCUAGAAAGAACAUUCUUUUAAUUCUCUAAUUUUAAGCAAAAGUUAGUGUUAGAUUAAUCUAAUUCCACCCACCAGGAGGCUAAGACUCCCCUAGUAAAAGAAACGUCAACACAGGGACAAAAGGAGUCCAAAAAUGUAUUUGUCAUUUUCUCGGAAGCUGCUGAUAUUAGUGAGAAGAGGAUGCUUGCUGAGGCAGUGGCCUCCCUGGGGCCUCCCACAGGUGAGGGCUGAUGGGACCUGCUUUUUGCCAGCAACUUACCUGGUACAUCCGUAGCUGGAAGAAGUGCCUCUCCUUUUCCAUCUCUUCAGCAAUUUCCAUCCUGCUUAUUUUAGUCCAGAUCAUCCCGUGGAGCCUGAUGUGUUCCUUUUUCUCCUUUUCUUAGUUCCAAGUGUGAAAGCAAGGAUAAAUCAAGAUGCCUCUUGGCAUGAAACUUUACUGGACAACCUUGAAGUCAUGCCAGUACCCAGUCUGCUGAGACCAAUGCUCAAUAGACAUUUCAGCACAGGAAGCCUCUUAAAUCCCUUCAAAGGAAAAUGGGUGUCAUGAAAAUGUCAAGCCUGGCCUUCUCACUACUUACUCAAAAAGUACUUCCUAAGCGCCUACUUUGAGUCACAUCUGGGUCACAGGAAAGUGUGGUGGAAAGUCUGCACAUGGCCCAGAAAGCUCCUUCAGCUCCAACAUUCAGAACCUGCCUGCCUGCCUUCUGAGUAUCCCAAGGGCACUGUCUGACUCUUUCAUACCCACCAUUUGUCUCCCUGGACUUCUUGCUAAAUCCCUGUCUUCACUUCCUCACUUAGGGAAUUCAUGCCAGCUCUCUGACUUGAUCUAUGACCCUGCUCAUCACUGUAGGAGAAAAAAAAAAAAAUACAACCACCUUUCCAUGCUGUCAACUUAAUUAUCCCUCCCACAUUUAUCUCAUGCCUGAAAUGUAUUACCUAAAUGUUGAGUGUGCAGUUCAGGGUAAAACUGACCAACUGGAGCACAUCCAAAGAAGAGCAACCAUGGUAAAAAGAAGCUACAUCAUCAUGUCUGCUAAGGAAGGCUUGAAAUAACUAUGAAUUUUUAUUCUGGAGAAAACGAGACUAAACAAAACCAAUAAAAAUUACUCAAAAAAUAUGAAGCGUUGUUAUGAAGACAAAGGAAGAGGCACUUUCUAAAGAGACUCAAUGUAAACACUGGAAAACAUGGCAGCAUUUUCUUUAAACAGCAUUCAAUGAUGAAAUGGCUACUUGUGGUUCCAGAGGGCUCCCUGUCAUUGCGGGGUGGAGGACUAGAGUGUUUAAGAAGAGGCAAGAAGUGUAAUUUUUUUGUUCUUUAGUGUGGAGCACAGUGUGGGACACAAAGUAGGUUCUCAACAAUUUGAAAGAAUGAGUGGGUGAAAAUAUAAAUGCUCAGAAGAUAUAAAAACUCAGAAGACACUUUGAGAGGGAUAUUGUUUAAUCACUUUAUGCAUCUGAGAGGGAGCAUGACUAGAGGAUUUCUGAGGUCCCUGGGACUGGAAUUAUAUAACUCCAAGGCACUGCAACACCUCAAAGGCAAGACACAGUUCAGACAGAUCAUUUCUCUUAAUAAUCAGGCAUGGGACUAUUGCCCAGGAAUUUUAAAGACAUCUUAAACCUAGUUAUUACAUAUCACAAAACCUCUUGGAAUAAAUGAGUUUCUCACACUAAUAGGUAAAUAAU
rnacentral:lncRNA from 1 species